UACGAAGGUGGCUAGCGUUGUUCGGAUUUAUUGGGCGUAAAGGGUCCGCAGGCGGUUUGAUAAGUCAGGUGUGAAAUCCAACAGCUUAACUGUUGACACGCAUUUGAUACUGUCAGACUAGAGUAUGAGAGGGGUGAGAGGAAUUUCCAGUGUAGGGGUGAAAUCCGUAGAUAUUGGAAAGAACACCGGCCGCGAAGGCGUUUCACUGACUCAUUACUGACGCUCAGGGACGAAAGCUAGGGGAGCAAACGGG
rnacentral:rRNA from 1 species